AACAUAUGGGUCAGUUUCAUUAAAAGUAAUUUUGUCCGAAAUUAAUUUUUUUGACUAAAAAUAGCUAAACUUAUAUGAGAAAACUAUUUUCAAAACCACUUUAUAUAUUAGCAGUAUUUUUUAAAAGAACCCUAGUUUAAAGUGUCGUUGAUAGGCACUUUAAAGUGGCAAGCCUCUGCCGGUAAAACAAAUCACCAUACUGGCGUUUGAUAGUCGAAGUGCUAGAAAUCACGGGAACUCACCUAACAGGCGGUCAUCCAGCGAUCAAAAAACUGCCGAUGGUCCUUUUCCAUGGGAAAUGAGCUUCACUUUGUGAAAGGAUUGGCAGUAAACUGGAAACGGAGAAUCAAAGAAACACGGAAGUUUCAAAGAGGAAGGGUUUCUCUCUUGGAAUCCUGUUAAUCACCCUUAUGAUUCUGCUCAAAACAAGCCCAUCCGGAGCAACAAGUGCUUCAGUACUGAAGGAUUUCCAUGGCCUCUAUGCAACCAUCGCUGACAACAUGGAGUUGGAGUUCUUAAAUAGCUCUAAAAUGGGAAGGAUGCUUGUUGAUGAUGAUGAGUCCUUUGUGACUUUUGGUGCCCUCAUCGCUGAUGAAGCUGUUCUGAAAACGUGUGAUGGGGGAAAACCCUAUGGCAGCUGCCUCCCUCGUCCUAACCCGACACCCGUGCCAGAUACAUGCGGCACCUAUAAGCGAGGAUGUCGCAAGCCUAAUGCAAGACCAUGUUUUCUCCUAUGCUCUCUGCCUAACUUCUUUUUGUUUUCUUAUUUUCUUUUGGUCCAGUUCAAUAUGCAUAUAGUAUAUUAUUAUUUUAAGGCUUAUCAAAUAACUGAGUAAUGUAGUUUUCAUCAUUAUGCCUUCUGCAUCAUAUGGAUUCCGGGGCCUAAGUAUCAUUAACUCAGUAACUUUUCCAGUCCAUGCCAUCAACUCCUAAAAAGAUUAAAUUUUUUAUUUAAACUUUUAUAUUGUAUUCA